GACGAACGCUUGCGGCGUGCUUAACACAUGCAAGUCGAACGGAAAGGCCCUGCUUUUGUGGGGUGCUCGAGUGGCGAACGGGUGAGUAACACGUGAGUAACCUGCCCUUGACUUUGGGAUAACUUCAGGAAACUGGGGCUAAUACCGGAUAGGAGCUCCUGCUGCAUGGUGGGGGUUGGAAAGUUUCGGCGGUUGGGGAUGGACUCGCGGCUUAUCAGCUUGUUGGUGGGGUAGUGGCUUACCAAGGCUUUGACGGGUAGCCGGCCUGAGAGGGUGACCGGCCACAUUGGGACUGAGAUACGGCACAGACUCCUACGGGAGGCAGCAGUGGGGAAUAUUGCACAAUGGGCGGAAGCCUGAUGCAGCAACGCCGCGUGCGGGAUGACGGCCUUCGGGUUGUAAACCGCUUUCGCCUGUGACGAAGCGUGAGUGACGGUAAUGGGUAAAGAAGCACCGGCUAACUACGUG
rnacentral:rRNA from 1 species